GUUUUAUUUUUUAGUGUUCAUCGUCAAAUUGUCGGUGAGGUUUAUUAAUAAGGAAACGUACUUAUUUUAGCUCGGUUCUUUUUUGCCUUUAUGCUUCAACGUCGUCCACGCAAUUUUUAACAUUCUCGUCUUGUAUGUUGAAUUAUGCUGUAAAUUAUGAUAAUUAUUGUGUUUGUGUUUAAAAUCCGCCGUUUCUGCAACUGCAGUUCUUGUACCAGCGUUUGUUCGUAUCCGCGUUGUUAUUUCAUAUUGGCUAGGGAAGUGUAUGUCGUUUUUACCAACGCUUCGUCGUCCAAUUAUAGACGACUGUGUUGAAAAGACGAUUUUCAGCUUAGACGCGCAGAAAUAAAACCAUUUAGUCGUAUACAUUUCGGGGCUUAAUUUGUGUAGGAGUUGGACAGUCCUACAUUUCACCACACGUGACAAUCUUUUGUCAAAAACCCGCAUAUGAUUUUAUCAAGAUUGUCGCAUUCAAGACAAAGUAGAAUUCUGCUGGAGUUGCGAUUAUUCGCGAGACAUCCCAAUGGCGCUGGAAUCGAGCAAUCCUGGAAGAUGGCUAAUGAGUGGACCAUAAUGAGCCAUAUUUUAAAUAUUUAAAUAAAUCAAGCUUACUACUUUUC